rnacentral:lncRNA from 1 species
UACCAGGUAGUUACAGUCAAUCAGUUAUGCUCUCUGUUUAUAAAAAGGGACUCCCAGAUACGUUCUUCUCUAAGCUCUAAACUCUAUCUUAAAAUUCUUCUAAAAUCCCAUUUGAGUGCUCCAUUUCUAUUGAGGUAGAGUACUGAUUUGAGCAUCGGAGGGUUUUGUCGGAGCACCCCCAACUUCGGUUUAGACUUCCCUUGCAGGUCCC